rnacentral:rRNA from 1 species
AUGGGGAGGAGUGUGCCCGCGGGUGCCGUCGCCGGCAGCAAGAAGGCGUCGUGGCCGGAGGUGGUGGGCUGGCCGGCGCACGACGCAGCGCUCCAGAUCAGCAAGGACAGGCCUGACGUCUCCAUCUCCUUGUACAUAGGCACGGGCCCCUGGCCGCCGGGCCCGCACCCCUGGCGUGUCGUCGUGGUGUCAGACGCGGCGACCGGCGUCGUCGUCCAGACGCCCAUCGUCGGUUAG